AGCAAAGUAGCAUAGUGGUUUGAGUGCUGGACAAUGACUCUGGAGACCACGGUUCGAUUCCCCUCUUGGCCC